UCAGCCCUUUUUUCUCUCAUGCGUAUCUCUAUUUCUUCUCUCCUAUCUAAUCUCUCGUUCUUUUCUCCUUCUCUUUCAUCUCUCCUUCUCUCUAAGCUUUCGUUCUUCUCUUAUCUUCUUCUUCCUCAUUUUAGAUUCCUUAGUUGAAUUUUCGAAACCAAGCACAACAAUUUUCGCCGCCGCCGUCAAUUAUUCGAACCAUGCAAGCAUCAGCCACCGUCAUUAGAACCAAGCACAACCACAACAAACUUGAAUGAAUUUUCGAUUUGAAAAUCAGGAAUUUGAGGUCCUUCAUGAUAUCAUUGCAAAAAUUAGAUGCGAGUAUGGUGAUAAUUUUUGCUAAAAACACGCCUGCACAUAAAAUAGGAUUGAAGAUGUAGAUUUUGGUGUUUCGUUGUUCAUUGUUGCAGUUUUUUAUUUUUUUUAUAUAUAUAUUGUAAAAUAAAAAUUUAUUUGGAUGAAUAUAUAUGUGAUUAAUGUAUAUUACGAUUCUGGUGAUUUGUUGUUAAUUGUGUGUUGAUUUGUAAGUGGAAAACUGCAAAUUUUUGUUUUUC